rnacentral:tRNA from 1 species
UAUGGCAGAUAAGUGCAAAGGAUUUAAAAUCCUUAUAUAAAGAAUAAUCUUUUAUUAAAA